rnacentral:rRNA from 1 species
GAGUUUGAUCCUGGCUCAGAAUCAACGCUGGCGGCGUGCCUAACACAUGCAAGUCGAACGAGAAAGGGAUCCUUCGGGAACCUGAGUAAAGUGGCGAACGGGUGAGUAACACGUGGGUGACCUGCCCUCUGGAGGGGGAUAACCCGAGGAAACUCGGGCUAAGACCGCAUAAGCCUUUGAGGUCAAACUCAAAGGGAAAAGGAUUUAGCUUUCGAGUUAGAUCCUACCGGAGGAGGGGCCCGCGUCCCAUUAGCUAGUUGGUGGGGUAAAAGCCUACCAAGGCUACGAUGGGUAGCCGGUCUGAGAGGACGGACGGCCACACUGGAACUGAGACACGGUCCAGACUCCUACGGGAGGCAGCAGUGGGGAAUUUUGGGCAAUGGGCGAAAGCCUGACCCAGCAACGCCGCGUGGAGGAUGAAGGCCCUCGGGUCGUAAACUCCUGUCCUAGGGGAAGAAAAAAAUGACGGUACCCUUGGAGGAAGCCCCGGCUAACUCCGUGCCAGCAGCCGCGGUAAGACGGGGGGGGCGAGCGUUGUUCGGAAUUACUGGGCGUAAAGGGCGCGCAGGCGGCCUGGGAAGUCUUGGGUGAAAGCCCCCAGCUCAACUGGGGAAUGGCCUGAGAAACCACUAGGCUGGAGUGCUGGAGAGGGAAGCGGAAUUCCCGGUGGAGC